rnacentral:lncRNA from 1 species
CUCAGCCUCCCGAGUAGCUGGGACUACAGGCGCCCACCACCAUUCCCGGCUAAUUUUUUUUUUGUAUUUUUAGUAGAGACGGGGUUUCACCGUGUUAGCCAGGAUGGUCUCAAUCUUCUGACCUCGUGAUCUGCCCGUCUCAGCCUCCCAAAGUGCUGGGAUUACAGGCAUGAGCCACCAUGCCCGGCCCGUUUUUUUGUUUGUUUGUUUGUUUUCCCCAAGAUGGAGUCUUGCUCUGUUGCCCAGAGCUGGAGUGCAAUGGCACAAUCUCGGCUCACUGCAACCUCCGCCUCCUAGGUUCAAGCAAUUCUCCUGCCUCAGCAUCCCGAGUAGCUGGGAUUACAGGCGUGAGCCACCACACCCGGGUAAUUUUUGUAUUUUUAGUAGAGAUGGGGUUUCACCAAGUUGGCCAGGCUGGUAUCGAACUCCUGACCUCGUGAUCCACCUGCCUCGGACUCCCAAAAUGUUGAGAUUACAGGCGUGAGCCACCAUGCCCAGCCGCAGUGCUGUUUUUAAGAGCAAGAGACUGGAAACAACUCAAAUGUCCAUCAAUAGGGGGCUGUUUAAUUAAAUCACAUACAGUUCUACAACGGAAAAUUAUGUAGCCACAGAAAAGAUCCCAGGAAGCUCAAAUGUACUGAAACGAAACAGCUUCCAAGAUCUGAAAACAUAACACUGAACGAUGUAGGUAACGUGUGUAUCAUUUGUGGGAAAAAGUGGGAUACAAUAUGAUUAUAAGAUACUUAUACAGGCCGGCGCGGUGGCUCACGUCUGUAAUCCCAGCACUUUGGGAGGCCAAGGCAGGCGGAUCACAAGGUCAGCAGGUCGAGACCAGCCUGGCCAAUUUGGUGAAACCCCAUCUCUACUAAAAAUACAAAAAUUAGCCAGGCGUGGUGGCUUACGCCUGUAAUCCCAGCUACUCGGGAGGCUGAGGCAGGAGAAUCACUUGAACCCGGAGGGGGAGGUUGUGUUGACAAGUGCUGAAUCGAGUUGUUGUGAGUUAAUAAUAAAUAUUAUUAUUAUUGAGUACACAUUGUUUAACACGUGUAAAGCAUCACGUUAAGUCUUUAAAACCUAAUGGGUGUUUU